CACAAGCCCAUUGCAACACCUUCAAUGGCUGAGCUGUUGGAAGGUUUACAAGAAAAUAACAAUCAUUUCCUGGGGGCUUCUAACCUGUCUCUGCAACAUGAUAGGCCAAAGGGAAGGAGGAACUACAUUGCUGGGAAGAAAACCACAUACACGUUAGGUCCUAGGAUACUUGAUGAUGAAGACCCCCCCGAAUUUGUUGAUGACAGAAUGUCUAGUGAGGAUGAGGACAACUAUAACGAUGACAUUACGUAUACAAGUCAUCUUGUUAAAGGACAGACAAUGGCUGAUUUAUUUCAAGAAGCUUUCAGUACAGCUGCAUCAGAUGAGCCCGUAGUUGAACGUUCCUGCAGACAGCCUAGGUAAGUGCGUGGGCCUGCUCUAAAUAUGAGUUGAAUUUCAUCAGAGAUUGCAACAAGUGAUGCAGACUGAAAAAAAGAAAUAAGUAUGGAGUUCUUUAAGCGAAUGCAAGCAGAAUGGGUUCCUCGCUAUGAAUCCAAGUUUAUGGAUGUGCAAAUUUUGUCGAGAGUUUUGGAGGCAAAGCUGACAGUUUGUUGGUGCUCGUUGGGAGAGAACAUUGAGAGUUCUGAAGGGGACAAGAGUCUCCAACUUGCCGCUGAUGUUGGGAUGUUGAAGAAGAAUGUUAUUUUCAGCUCAAAGAUAUGUGAUAAUGUAGAGCUUGAAGUUGGUAAUAGGGUUCGCAUUUACUCACCCUGGAAAGAAGUUCAAGUUGAUGAAGAUGAGAGGAUCAUCCUCUGUAUGUAUUUUUCCCAAAUCAUGUCAUGAGUAUGUUUCUGCCACUACAAUCAGACUGCAUUUAUUGUACCUUUGCUUUGUAUUAAGCUUUCGUUGCUUUGAUAAACCCAAUUCUUAUCCUUUACCAGGUUUGAUCAGAAAAUGCACUACCAUUAUACUGGCUUCUAGUAGCUGCAUUAUUUAGGUCUGUGAACAGCUUAUAGUCCACGUUCAAUUCUAUUGAUAGUUGUGUGAUGGGUUUACCAUUGUUCAAGCCUUCUAGGUACAGAUAGGGGGAAAAAUCUGCCACUAUUUUAGACUUCCAAGUACAUUUAAAAAAAAACUUCCGAGUCAUUAGCUCUGUUAAGCAUCUUUUAUCAAAUCAACUAUGAGACCUGACUCUACAAAAAGAAAAGUUGUGCAUUGCGAGCAUUUUUCUGUAAUGUUUUGGAGAAUAGCAGUUAUUCUUCU